rnacentral:rRNA from 1 species
AAGCCUAGGAAUCUGCCUGGUAGUGGGGGAUAACGUUCGGAAACGGACGCUAAUACCGCAUACGUCCUACGGGAGAAAGCAGGGGACCUUCGGGCCUUGCGCUAUCAGAUGAGCCUAGGUCGGAUUAGCUAGUUGGUGAGGUAAUGGCUCACCAAGGCGACGAUCCGUAACUGGUCUGAGAGGAUGAUCAGUCACACUGGAACUGAGACACGGUCCAGACUCCUACGGGAGGCAGCAGUGGGGAAUAUUGGACAAUGGGCGAAAGCCUGAUCCAGCCAUGCCGCGUGUGUUAAGAAGGUCUUCGGGUUGUAAAGCACUUUAAGUUGGGAGGAAGGGCAUUAACCUAAUACGUUAGUGUUUUGACGUUACCGACAGAAUAAGCACCGGCUAACUCUGUGCCAGCAGCCGCGGUAAUACAGAGGGUGCAAGCGUUAAUCGGAAUUACUGGGCGUAAAGCGCGCGUAGGUGGUUUGUUAAGUUGGAUGUGAAAUCCCCGGGCUCAACCUGGGAACUGCAUUCAAAACUGACUGACUAGAGUAUGGUAGAGGGUGGUGGAAUUUCCUGUGUAGCGGUGAAAUGCGCAGAUAUAGGAAGGAACACCAGUGGCGAAGGCGACCACCUGGACUAAUACUGACACUGAGGUGCGAAAGCGUGGGGA